ensembl:lncRNA
AUCAGGUAUUAUUUCCGUUCCUAUGGUAGAACUUUCCGGAGCAAUAGAAAUUAACUGCAACCCAGUAACGAACCUUCUCGAGUUUGUCUAUUCUAGCGUUGAAAACAUCCUGCUCUAUUAUUAACAGUUUUUGGUGAAUUCUGUAGGGAUGCAGCCAUUUUGAAAUAACCCGGAAAGCAUUGGAAACACUUUUCACUGGUUUUAGAUUUUCUUGGGAAGAAAGCCGUCUUUUAAAUCAUAGUUCUGAAGUAGAUUAUCUUCAGUGAUAAUUGGGUUACUUUGAGAGAAAAUAUGCAUCUUUUGAAAAUUUUACACUGAGGAUAAGUCAAAUUUCUUAAUGGCAAAGAUGGUCCCAAUCAAAGACUGCAUAGGAUUGUUCUUCAUAAGAUUCACUCAAUAUUGUAUUCGAAUCCUUCAACAGUUUGACAAUGGCUACAACACCUUGGAUUCAUUCACUUCACUUGACCUGCAGAGAAUGGCUGAUCUAUCAUUUCAUGGAAGUGUUAAUUAUGAUACUGGUAGCAGUCUGGGAAAAUUCAAGAACAAAACAUAUCAAAAAGGAGGAAUGUCCAGAACAGUUCUUGGAAUAUUAAGUGUGCUGCUUUGCCCACUGCUUCCUGUUGGAGAUUGAAGCACCCAUGCACUUUGAAGCACAUUUGUGUUUCAGAAACACAUUCUGGUGUCCUAAAUACGCAAUAAUUUCAGAUAUUUCCUAUAAGGAAGUCACAGUACCUAUCUAAUAAGAAAAUAUCCUGUUCCCCAUUGAUGCAUACACUGGUCGGAUGACUUUGGAUGUGGUGUCUACUGAGUCUGCACAUAUUUGGAAGGAUUAUUCCUCUGGUGCACACUGGAAAUGGCUUCUGGGGCAUUGUGCUCUAACUUCUUUUUUUCUUUCCUCGUACCAGGAAUUGAACCCUGGUCCUUGAGCUUGCUGGAUAGGUGGUGAAACCGCUGAGCUAAAUCUCUGGCCCAUGCUAACUUCUACAAAUGGGCUUGGUAGUUAUUUUCCAAACAUGGAUGUGAAAAAAAAGGGGAGGUCCACUAGGGAAGACGAAGAUAGAUGA